GUCACAUCUCAAGCGCAUGUGUAGUGUAUCUCAACCAUUUACGAAACAGAGAGCCUUUGUGGAGAUGCAAUAUCCAAACAUGCAAUCGAAGAAGGAUGGCCUCGCCAUAAGCGUCGUUUUAUACCUUCAAAAAAUGUGAUCACUGUGAUGAUUAUCUUGUAAAACCCUCGUGUGGGCAUGUAUCGUCUCAUAAAAGACCUUAUCGAAACAAUGUGUAAUGGUUUGACCUUACGAAUCGAACGGGAAUAAAUAAAAAUAUAUAUUUACAAAAGCUUAA